ACGGGAGGCAGCAGUGGGGAAUAUUGGGCAAUGGGCGAAAGCCUGACCCAGCAACGCCGCGUGAAGGAAGAAGGUCUUCGGAUUGUAAAACUCUUUGAUUGGGGACGAAUAAAUGACGGUACCCAAGGAACAAGCCCCGGCUAACUAUGUGCCAGCAGCCGCGGUAAUACAUAGGGGGCGAGCGUUGUCCGGAAUGACUGGGCGUAAAGGGUGUGUAGGCGGUUUCGCAAGUUGGAAGUGUAAUACCUAGAGCUUAACUCAGGUGCUGCUUCCAAAACUGCGAAACUUGAGUGUCGGAGAGGAAAAUGGAAUUCCUAGUGUAGCGGUGGAAUGCGUAGAUAUUAGGAGGAACACCAGAGGCGAAAGCGAUUUUCUGGACGAUAACUGACGCUGAGGCACGAAAGCGUGGGGAGCAAACAGGAUUAGAUACCCUGGUA
rnacentral:rRNA from 1 species